rnacentral:rRNA from 1 species
AUUGAACGCUGGCGGCAGGCCUAACACAUGCAAGUCGAACGAGUGGCGGACGGGUGAGUAAUGUCUGGGAAACUGCCAGAUGGAGGGGGAUAACUACUGGAAACGGUAGCUAAUACCGCAUACCAUCAGAUGUGCCCAGAUGGGAUUGGCUAGUUGGUGGGGUAACGGCUCGCAAAGGCGACGAUCCCUAGCUGGUCUGAGCGGAUGACCAGCCACACUGGAAUGGAGACACGGUCCAGACUCCUACGUGAGGCAGCAGUGGGGAAUAUUGCACAAUGGGCGCAAGCCUGAGGCAGCCAUGCCGCGUGUAUGAAGAAGGCCUUCGGGGUGUAAAGUACUUUCAGCGGGUAGGCGUUACCCGCAGAAGAAGCACCGGCUAACUCCGUGCCAGCAGCCGCGGUAAUUC